GCCCCAGUGGCUCAGUGGUAGAGCAGGCGCCACAUGAGCAGCGGCCGUGGGUUCAAUUCCCGCCCUCGGCC